UUUUUUUUUUUUUUUUUUCUACCAGGUAUAGUUUGUGGGUAUUUGUGUGUCUAACUGUGGAGUGAAUAGGCAGACAACUGGGAACAGCAAAGGCUGGAGGAAAAUAGAACAGUCUCUGAUCUGGUCCAGCAAACUGCUGUCUGUUAGCUGAGGUGUUGUAUUGACCGAGAAACUCUUGGAAGAAAAUGUCUGAAUUCCACAUUAUCUGCAGAAACAAUAGUUUGUAAUGCAUGGAAGGUUGAGGUUCAGAGACACACUUUAGAUUAUAGGUCUCUUCAAAGUAAAUGCAAAAGGCCACCCAAAGGAAUCAGGCUUUCAUAAUGUGGUCUCUUUUCACUAAGUCAGGGGGUGAAAAAAAAUCAUUUGCAAUUUGAUCUCUUUCAUUAGAAACACCAAAAAAGUCUGCUCUCAUGUGUCCAAUCCCUCUCUUACCUUCAGAGAGCAUAGGAUGAGAUGAUGUGUAAGAGUUGAUCCUCCCCCACCGCAAUUUACCCAGUUCUUCUUUUAGCUCAAAUGUUAGUGAAUGCUUUCAACUGUUUUCUAAGGAAACAAAUUACCUAUUUAUUGAAAUGAGUUAACUGUAGCUUGCUGACAAACAGUAUUUCAUUUUCAGGAGCAGCUGUCAGACUUUUAAAACAUUAAAAGCCCAUCAAAAACAUUUUAGAAAGUACAGCCAAAACCUUAUGAGUGACUUUCUAAAAUCUGUUCUGCUCAUAUGUAUUCAAGAUAAUUAACUGGGGUAGUAGAUUUUAUAUUCUGGGUAGAGGUUUUUGUUUCGUUUUGUUUUUUGUUUUUGGUUUUUUUGUUAAUGUGUUUUAGAAGUUUCCAUGGAUAUAUUCUCCUUAAGUUCAACAAAGGGACAUCUCAUGAAGUGGUGAAGAUAAAAAUGACCAUAGUACAUUGAAAAUCUUCUCCCUGUCUGAAGGUGAUGAAACCUUGUUCCACGCAGGGGUGGUGGGAAGCACAGUUAUUUCUUCCCCUCCUUUGCUUAGCAUUCUCCUUCACCCUGUCUGCCAAACUUGUUCUCAUGUAGAGCCCUGCUGGGGCUCACCAGAUGGAAUGAUCAAAUGCCCGGUGGGAGUCAAAGGACUCCUAAAUGCUAAGCCAUUUGGAAUAGAAGAAAGCCUGGAAUUCCAGCUGGAUCCCCAUUUUCUGAAGUGUAUUUCAUGUAAUCUUAGAUUUAGCACAUAAGUCAUAUAUAUAUAUAUAUUUUUUUCUUUUUAUAACUGUGCCUACAGCAUAUGGAAACUCCUGGGCUAGGUCAAAUUGGAGCUGCAGCUGCAGGCCUAUUCUACAGCCACAGAAACACCUGAUCCAAGUGUCUCAUGGAUGUUAUGUGGGGUUCUUAACCCACUAAGCCACAAUGGGAACUCCGCAUAAGUCACAGGUUAAAGGCUCUGAGAAGUCUUGCAGUAAAGAAGUCCAUUUAACUUUGCAGAAGGAAGCAAUUUCCACAUGUAUGUAAUCAUGGAGCCUUUCUUUACUUUUAUAUUUUGUAUGGAACAACACCCCAAACUAAUUUUCCUUGGAACACAUUUUUGGGAUACUGUAUAAAUGAGUGAAAAAUGAUGAAGAUGUUUAAAGGUCUUUCAACAAGAGUGGAGAAUGAAGAAAGAUUAGAUUUAGUCGUACUUACUUUCUGAAAAAAUAGAAAACAUGUCAGUUAGGGAUAGGAAAACUGUUUCAAAGUGUUUUAAAGCAAAAAAAGGAGAACUUAAUAUUUCAUAAUGGUGAGAAAUCCAGGAUAGAUGUGACUUCAGACACUGUUUAACUCAGGGAUCAAGUAAAGUUUUCCUCUACCUCCAGUGUUACCAUUAUGCUCAAAGUUCUUGUAUAGAAGCUGAUUCUCUCUAUUUGAGGGGGAACAAUAGCCACAGAAUCUCCAUCCUUUCCUGUUUUCAGGACAGAGCUCCCUCCUUUGGUGGAGCUAGUAAUGAAGAUCCUGUCAGGACAAAUGAAUCCAGAGCACAAGCAGUUCCCUGACGGAAAAUUGAAGAUUGUUGCUAUAAGAAGAGGAAAUGGAUGCUGGAGGAGGCACGCAAUCAAAAUGUCAAAAUAAUAAUCUAGGGCCAUCUCUCUGGGCUGUUUUUUAUUCUAACAGAAACAUGCUGUAAAGGUAAGUGGCUUAUUUGAGUGACAGGAGAAGGGGUGAAUGGAAUCCCAUACUGCACUUGAAAGAUUGGAAAGAGAUCCUGGUUAGAAGCAAUCACUGGUGGAGUUGAAAGGGAAGCAAAAGAUCUUAGAAGAAAGGAUAUGUUUAACCAUUAAACUCCCCUAGAUUGGAAAUGUGACCCUAGCAGUUUGUACAAACAGGGGUCCCCUGAGCCAAGGCAAGAAGAAGCUGAAGAAGACAGAGAAGGAAAAAAAAAGCCCAUAAUUGGCCCUUAUCAUUCGUUUGGUUGCCCUGUUCAUCCCAGAUCCUUUUCUCUCUUCUGUAUCACCAAGAAUCAGUCCCCCCCCCCCAAAAAAAGGAAGUUCCCAUCGUGGCGCAGUGGUUAACGAAUCUGACUAGGAACCAUGAGGUUGCAGGUUCGGUCCCUGCCGUUGCUCAGUGGGUUAAGGAUCCGGCAUUGCCGUGAGCUGUGGUGUAGGUUGCAGACGCGGCUCGGAUCCCGCGUUGCUGUGGCUCUGGCGUAGGCCAGUGGCUGCAGCUCCGAUUGGACCCCUAGCCUGGGAACCUCCAUAUGCCGCGGGAGCGGCCCAAAGAAAUAGCAAAAAAAAAAAAAAAAAAAAGAAUCAGUCCCUAAAAUGAUCACAUAGCCCCUGACAUCUAUGGCUUGGAUCUAGGACUCUUUUUCUGGUGCCUGGUGAGAGGUAGUAUGUAAAUUAUUAUUCAUUGUCAAUGGGGAAGAUAGUUUCUUUGCAUUCCAAGGUGGUAUUCUGAGUGAUUUCCCUUCUCUCUACUCACAUCAAUAAUUUAUAUGUAUUGAAGUUCAAUGUGUGUGUGUGUGUGUGUGUGUGUGUGUGUGUUUUGAUGCUUUUAUAAAUUGUUGCCCAAAGCACCUCAUAGACGGACUCCUCCUACCCUUCUGUCUUCCUUUCUCACCAGUCAGAACUUACCCUUUAUGCUCCAUCAGUGCAACCCCUCCACAUUUCUCCAGGCACUCUGAUGCUGUGUACCACUGUCUUGGGUUGGGUUCCUUGGAAAUAGCCUGAGAUGGGGAUUUUGGUGCCAGGGUUUUACCAAGGAAGUGCUUUUAGAAGAAGCCUGGAAUGGAGUGAGGAAAGCAGAGUAGGACAGGGAGAGAAGCCAGGGUAAUUUGUGGGUUCAGCUAAACUUAUGGGGAGCUCUGGAACAUGCAUUAUACAACAAAUUUCCUACCUUGAGGUAAGGGGACUGGUCUUUUCUAUCUCCAUAUUAGUCUAUCAUUGGCUAAGGGUCAUUUUUGGAAGGGUAGUAACUCCGAGGGUUUCCUAGGUGAUCUACUUCCCUUAGGUUGAGAACAAUUCUCAGAAUAAAGCAACUUGGAGCUCUUAACAACCUAUUCUCAGAGCAACUGGGAGAUGUAUUACAACUACUCCAAAUGUUUGCUUCACUCCACCGGCCCCACUACCUGAAAACUUGCCUUAAUACAAUGGUUUUCAAGCCUUACCAUGUAUCAGAAAAACCUUGAGGGCUUCUUAAAACUCAGAUGGUUGAUUCCCACUCUCAGAGAUUAUGAUUCAGUCACUCUGGGGUGGAGACCAAUAAUUAAUAAUUCUAACAAGUUUUCAGAUCAUGUUUGAGAAAAAGUGGCUUAAAUUCCUUUGUAACUCAACUGAGCUGUCAUCGCCUUCAGGAAGACUUCCUUUUCAUUUGUACCCUCAUCACCCUUCCCCAUCUUGGAUCAGUACCCUUUUUGCUUCCUUAACAUUCCAAGCACUUACCACACUGCAUUGGAAUUAUAUACUUGGGAGAGUCUUAGUUCUGGUGGUAGGUGCAGGGAUAUGAAGAGUCCAGGAGUAGAGUGAAGAAUGAUACAUGUGUAGACUUCCAAGGAAAAGCUAUGAAUGGAUUUCCCAUAAAAAUAAAGUCUGUCUUGUUACUUUACAAAACCUUGAGGACAGCACUCUCUUAUUCAUCUGAAUACACCUGGCUCUUGGAAGGUCACCUGAUGGCUUGUAAGAGUCCCAGUACAGCUUUGUUGAAUUAGACAUCAAUCUUGUUUGAGACUGGCUUCAUGGGAAAAAAUACUUAACUUACAUAAGUUAAACAAUUACACAGAUUAAAAUAUGUUUAACUCACCUGUGGGACAAUAUGUCAACUUAGAAAAAACUGCAAAAAUAAUUUAUUUUUUAGUUGAGUCUUGCCUUCUCUAGUAUGCUAUGUCCAUCCCUAAAUGUAUGUAGAAAGGCAUUAACCUGACUUUUCAUGAACACACAAGUGAAUCACUUCCCAAAAUGAACACCAUUUCUCCACCAACGCUUACUUAAUUCAUGAACUUGUAAUAUGUUUUUGGAAAAAUCAUCUCAUAAAACGAUGAUGACCUGAGGUUUAAGACUUUCUGGCACAGAGCUAGAAAAAAGUAAGCUUUGUGGCAACACUGUAAAGAACAAGAUAUAAACUGCAUUUAGUGUCAGUAGCUGUUAAAUGGAAGCAUUCACUGUAGCAGACAGUCUUCCUUUAGAAAAUACAAGCCAAUGACAGAAGAUAACAAAUAGAUUCCAUCCUCAGUGAAAGUAUGGCAGUUCUCUCCAGAAAAAAAAAAUCAUAAUUGGGGAAAAUUAGCCAAAGGUGACUUUGGAAGAGUGGCUAGAGAGUACAUAAUGUAAUGGCUGUUCAGGUAUAUAUUCAUCAAAGCUGUUGACAUAGUUCUCUUAUUAGCUAAUAUUUAAAAUGUUGUUUUAAGGAAAUGGUGCAUUUGUAAAGUACCAGAGGCAAGAGGGUCUGGAGUGGUUACUAUUAAACCUCUUUGCUAAUUGGACACACCAGCUACUGCUAUAACAUUAAUCUGAAGCCUUACCUGACAGGCUAAACAGCCUGAGCUAACCGAACAUUUAGAAUUAAUGUGUUUACUUCAAGAAACACAAAGUCUGAUUCAAUUAGCAUCCAAAGUCAUGGAGGGUACAGAAUUUAAUGUUGGAGGUUUUUCUUUCUUUCUUUCUUUUUCUAAUUUAUACUCAAGUGUUUACAGAACCAAAAUUAAUGAUGAAGAGAUGUAAUUUUUUUUUUGUCUUAGAGGCUGAAAACAUAAAAAAUUGGAUUAAAAUUAUGAAGCUACUGUGACAUGAUAUAUUAAGAGCUCUGAAUGAUGCCUAGGGAUGGAAGAGAGGAGAAAAACACUUGAGUAAGUAAACAGAGUUUAUGAGACUUGUUUAUGCCAGGAAAGCUGGAUGAAUAUUUCUGACUAAAAGUUAAUUAACUAUUUUGCCUCAGCGAGCCAAUUUGUCGCCUUAAACUUUGAUUCAUUAACUGCAAACUGAGAGGGUUGCUUGUUCCUUGGUGUACUCGUACACUGAGUUUGUGUUAAAUGGUGCUGUGAGAUAUUGUCUGUUCUUUCCAAUUGAAACUAACCGAAAAGGCUAUUAUACUGAAAGUAAGACUUUUUAAGUGGCAAUAAGUAGAUGGGUACUCUUUCAGAGCAAUGCCUAAAAACUAUAUGGCUUAAUUGCAAAGCUAAUCAACCCUUAUUAAAUAAAAUAAGGGUAUAUCCAAGAUUUUUGAGUCUGCACAUUAAAUGGAGCAUGCGAGUUGCCCAGUUGGCGGUUUUAAUUAAGCUUUAAGACUUGUGAACUUACGAGUGAUGCUUCUUCAGGUUUUGCCACUUGGGGACUGUAAUUAUUAUUAUUUUUUUUUAAAAAACUGUUGUGAUGAGAAAAUGAGUCUCCAUUAGUCAAGAUCUUGGCUUUGUUUCUAAUUGUGACAUGUUUUGUGAAAGCCUAUUUGCUGGGUAUGAAAUAUCUUUGAGUUCAUGAAUGGGCAGAUGAAAAGAGAAGCACUUAGGAAAAAAAAAUCUCAGCCAUACUCCUAGAAUAAUGAUUUU
rnacentral:lncRNA from 1 species